rnacentral:rRNA from 1 species
UACGAAGGGGGCUAGCGUUGUUCGGAAUUACUGGGCGUAAAGGGCGCGUAGGCGGCAAUUCAAGUCAUCUGUGAAAUCUCCGGGCUUAACUCGGAACGGUCAGAUGAUACUGCUUUGCUAGAGUGCGGAAGGGGCAAUCGGAAUUCUUGGUGUAGCGGUGAAAUGCGUAGAUAUCAAGAGGAACACCUGAGGUGAAGACGGGUUGCUGGGCCGACACUGACGCUGAAGCGCGAAAGCCAGGGGAGCAAACGGG